rnacentral:lncRNA from 1 species
CCGGCACCGGAGCUCUGUGAUCUGCUCUAGUCUAGUGCUAUCUGGAUUGUGUCGUGGCAAUAAAGGACUCGACAGCUGGCGGGCAGACUCACUUCCAGAGGACAAACCCUGACCAGCCCGCAAGCGGAGAGCCGGUUGGUGGCUUCCCACAGUGAAAGUGCUGGCCGUGCUCUGCUCCCCCAGCACCUGACACAGCAGUGUGCCUGUGGAAAAUGCUCGAGGGACAGCAAAUGAACGAAGCAUUCGAAGAUGUGUUGAACCACGUUUGAAC